ensembl:lncRNA
AAACACUUUGUGAGGAGGCGAAAAAGAAAGGUGUGGUGCACUGACCUUGGCCAGCUGACAGCACUGCUCUCUGUUUGCCUCCUCAUGAAGUCAGUGGGAGAAAACAAAAAUAAAAGCUGACAGGCCAAGUGUUCAGCCUUUUCUGGAACAUUUGCACAGCAGCUCUGCUGAUGGCUCAGCUGUGGAAGCAGCUGUGGUAGGCCAGGCCUUUCUCCACACAGAGCCCGUCCUGCAGCUGCUGCUGCCAGCACCUGGCUGCUCACAACAAAAGGUUUGGGGAGAAAAUGAAGGAGAGCUCAUUACCACGCUGCAGAAACCCUGAUCUGCUGUCCUCACACCAAGAUCAUAUGGAUGCUGAACCAAGAGGAUGACAUGUCCCAUCUUGCAGCUCGAUGUGUCCACUACCAGAAUUUACUCUUCAAUAGCAGAAAAAAAUGCCAAGUAUUUUAUUGAAAACCAAUAUAAUCAUCAGCAAU